CCUACGGGAGGCAGCAGUGGGGAAUAUUGCACAAUGGGCGAAAGCCUGAUGCAGCAACGCCGCGUGAGGGAUGAAGGCCUUCGGGUUGUAAACCUCUUUUAGCAGGGAAGAAGCGAAAGUGACGGUACCUGCAGAAAAAGCACCGGCUAACUAUGUGCCAGCAGCCGCGGUAAUACAUAGGGUGCAAGCGUUGUCCGGAAUUAUUGGGCGUAAAGAGCUCGUAGGUGGUUCGACACGUCUGAUGCGAAAACCAGGGGCUCAACCUCUGACCUGCAUCGGAUACGGGCGAGCUAGAGUGUGGUAGGGGAGACUGGAAUUCCUGGUGUAGCGGUGGAAUGCGCAGAUAUCAGGAGGAACACCGAUGGCGAAGGCACGUCUCUGGGCCAAUACUGACACUGAGGAGCGAAAGCGUGGGGAGCGAACAGGAUUAGAUACCCUGGUAGUCCACGCCGUAAACGGUGGGCGCUAGUUGU
rnacentral:rRNA from 1 species